AAAGAUCUAAAUAAAAAUUAAAUUUUUUGUUUCAAAAAAAUUUUUUAUUUUUAUUUAGUUGUGAGAUUCUAAUCGCUUUUAUUUAUAUCUAGUAACUUUAGAAAUAAAUUUAGUUUAUAAUAAUUAGGAAAUUUUUAUUUUUAAUUUUUUCUUGAAUUAUUUUUAAAUUUUUGGGGAUGAGCUCAAAAAUUAUUAUAUAAGAAUAAAUUUUUAUAUUUUUUUUAUAGGCUUAGAAUUAGCCAAUAGAAAUUGUUAUAAAAUAUAAUUAUAAGUUUUGGAUUUUUUUUUCUUUUAUUAUUAUAAAGUUAAUUAAAAAAUUUUUUAUAUUUUGAAAAUAUGAUAACAUUAGUAGAUAAUUUUAUAAAGGUUUUUUUUUAAAUUUUUCUUUAAAAUUUUUAUAAUAAAUUGUAACAAAAGAACUCGGCAAAAAAAAUUUCCGAAUGUUUAACAAAAACAUUUCCUCUUAGUGUAAGAGGUAAGGCCUGCUCACUGAGGUUUUAAAGAGCCGCAGUAUCCUAACUGUGCUAAGGUAGCAUAAUCAUUAGUCUUUUAAUUGGGGGACUGGUAUGAAUGGCUUAACGAGAAAUUAACUUUUUUUGUUAUAUAUGUUGAAUUUAAUUUUUUAGUGAAAAAGCUAAAAUUUUUCAGAAAGACGAGAAGACCCUAUAGAGUUUUAUGUUUUUAUUUAUUUUAUUAUAUUAGAUUUUUAAUGAUAGAGUAUUAUAAAACAUUUUGUUGGGGCGACGUUUAGAUAUAAGAAACUCUUUAUUUAAGAAAUUUUUAUAAAAAUAUAGGCUGAUCCUUUAUAAAAGAUCAAAAGAAAAAAUUACCUUAGGGAUAACAGCGUAAUCUUUUUUGAGAGUUCUAAUCGACAAAAAGGUUUGCGACCU
rnacentral:rRNA from 1 species